rnacentral:ncRNA from 4 species
CCCUGUUGAGCUUGACUCUAGUC